GGGCUCCUGGGAGCACAGACCCACUCAGCUGUGGAACGAUUUCGUGAGGUCUGGUUGCAGGAGUCGGAAUGACCUCCUACACAGCCCGAGAGCCCACACCGGUGACACCCUCCUGAAGGCCUUCUAGACUGCAUUCUGCACCCUGCAUGCCAGUUACAGACGGAGAGUCCCCUGGCAGUGGGGCCCGGCAAGCACCCUGGAGGUGAACGUCGCCAGUACGCGCACAGUGGGACAUCGCUCAGCCGAAGGGCGGAAGGAGCUCCCGCCGUAUGCAGGGACACAGAUAAACAAAAGCUGAGAAUUCUAUGCCAGGAGACCCACCCUACAGGGAACAUUACAGAUGUUCUUAAGACUGAAGGAAGCAACACGAGAUGAAAACUCAGGAGGUCGGGAAGGACAAGGGCACCAGCGCUGGUCGGUAGGAAACGGUUUCCUCUCCACUCACAUUCCUGAUCGCAGACAUUUCUGUCUUAUUCCUUGCAGAUUUUGAAAAGUGUUCUAAAUUCAGAAUAACUUAAACCAUGUAGAACUGAUUGACAAAAGAAAAACAGAAAUGGAACAGAACUUUGGAAUUUCUGCAUACGAUAUAAUCAAUCAGUAUAAAAAUGAGUUUAAAAGCUUAUUGAUAUUAAACAAACUUAAAGGGA